rnacentral:rRNA from 1 species
GGCGUAAAGAGUGCGUAGGUGGUACCUAAGCGCAAGGUUUAAUCUUGAGGCUCAACCUCAUCUGCCUUGCGAACUGGGCUACUUGAGUGCAGGAGGGGAAAGCGGAAUUCCCAGUGUAGCGGUGAAAUGCGUAGAUAUUGGGAAGAACACCGGUGGCGAAGGCGGCUUUCUGGACUGUAACUGACACUGAGGCACGAAAGCGUGGGGAGCAAACAGGAUUAGAUACCCUGGUAGUCCACGCCGUAAACGAUGAGCACUAGUUGUUGGGUACGAAUGUAUUCAGUGACGCAGUUAACGCAAUAAGUGCUCCGCCUGGGGAGUACGGUGGCAACACUAAAACUCAAAGGAAUUGACGGGGACCCGCACAAGCAGCGGAGCAUGUGGUUUAAUUCGAAGCAACGCGAAAAACCUUACCAGGGCUUGACAUCCCUCUGACCGGGACUUAACCGUCCCUUUCUUCGGACAGAGGAGACAGGUGGUGCAUGGUUGUCGUCAGCUCGUGUCGUGAGAUGUUGGGUUAAGUCCCGCAACGAGCGCAACCCUUGUCGUCAGUUACUAACAUUAAGUUGAGGACUCUGACGAGACUGCCGAGGUCAACUCGGAGGAAGGUGGGGAUGACGUCAAAUCAUCAUGCCCCUUAUGUUCUGGGCUACACACGUGCUACAAUGGUCGGUACAAUGAGAGGCAAUACAGCGAUGUGGAGCAAAUCACCAAAACCGAUCCCAGUUCGGAUUGCAGGCUGCAACUCGCCUGCAUGAAGUCGGAGUUGCUAGUAAUCGCGAAUCAGCAUGUCGCGGUGAAUGCGUUCCCGGGUCUUGUACUCACCGCCCGU